AAUUUUCCGCGUUAGGAAUUGCAGCGUAAAGCCCACAGCGAGUGGAACGAGCGCAGACUUGAAGCGUAAAGCCCGACCCGCA
rnacentral:misc_RNA from 1 species